AUUAUGUCUACUUUGAGAAUUCCUCCAGCAACCCAUACCUAAUAAGAAGAAUAGAAGAACUCAACAAGACUGCAAGUGGCAACGUGGAAGCAAAAGUAGUAUGCUUUUAUAGACGACGUGAUAUUUCCAACACACUUAUAAUGCUCGCAGAUAAGCAUGCUAAAGAAAUUGAGGAAGAAUCUGAAACAACAGUUGAGGCUGACUUGACCGAUAAGCAGAAACAUCAGUUGAAACAUAGGGAACUCUUUUUGUCACGCCAGUAUGAAUCUCUGCCCGCAACACAUAUCAGGAUACCUUCUUCUACUCAUUGGUCUAUGACCCCUCAUUGAAAACACUAUUAGCUGACAAAGGUGAAAUCAGAGUGGGGCCUAGAUAUCAAGCAGACAUUCCAGAAAUGCUGUUAGAAGGAGAAU
rnacentral:sRNA from 1 species